GAUGAACGCUGGCGGCGUGCCUAAUACAUGCAAGUCGAGCGAACGGACGAGAAGCUUGCUUCUCUGAUGUUAGCGGCGGACGGGUGAGUAACACGUGGAUAACCUACCUAUAAGACUGGGAUAACUUCGGGAAACCGGAGCUAAUACCGGAUAAUAUUUUGAACCGCAUGGUUCAAAAGUGAAAGACGGUCUUGCUGUCACUUAUAGAUGGAUCCGCGCUGCAUUAGCUAGUUGGUAAGGUAACGGCUUACCAAGGCAACGAUGCAUAGCCGACCUGAGAGGGUGAUCGGCCACACUGGAACUGAGACACGGUCCAGACUCCUACGGGAGGCAGCAGUAGGGAAUCUUCCGCAAUGGGCGAAAGCCUGACGGAGCAACGCCGCGUGAGUGAUGAAGGUCUUCGGAUCGUAAAACUCUGUUAUUAGGGAAGAACAUAUGUGUAAGUAACUGUGCACAUCUUGACGGUACCUAAUCAGAAAGCCACGGCUAACUACGUGCCAGCAGCCGCGGUAAUACGUAGGUGGCAAGCGUUAUCCGGAAUUAUUGGGCGUAAAGCGCGCGUAGGCGGUUUUUUAAGUCUGAUGUGAAAGCCCACGGCUCAACCGUGGAGGGCCAUUGGAAACUGGAAAACUUGAGUGCAGAAGAGGAAAGUGGAAUUCCAUGUGUAGCGGUGAAAUGCGCAGAGAUAUGGAGGAACACCAGUGGCGAAGGCGACUUUCUGGUCUGUAACUGACGCUGAUGUGCGAAAGCGUGGGGAUCAAACAGGAUUAGGUACCCUGGUAGUCCACGCCGUAAACGAUGAGUGCUAAGUGUUAGGGGGUUUCCGCCCCUUAGUGCUGCAGCUAACGCAUUAAGCACUCCGCCUGGGGAGUACGACCGCAAGGUUGAAACUCAAAGGAAUUGACGGGGACCCGCACAAGCGGUGGAGCAUGUGGUUUAAUUCGAAGCAACGCGAAGAACCUUACCAAAUCUUGACAUCCUUUGACAACUCUAGAGAUAGAGCCUUCCCCUUCGGGGGACAAAGUGACAGGUGGUGCAUGGUUGUCGUCAGCUCGUGUCGUGAGAUGUUGGGUUAAGUCCCGCAACGAGCGCAACCCUUAAGCUUAGUUGCCAUCAUUAAGUUGGGCACUCUAAGUUGACUGCCGGUGACAAACCGGAGGAAGGUGGGGAUGACGUCAAAUCAUCAUGCCCCUUAUGAUUUGGGCUACACACGUGCUACAAUGGACAAUACAAAGGGCAGCGAAACCGCGAGGUCAAGCAAAUCCCAUAAAGUUGUUCUCAGUUCGGAUUGUAGUCUGCAACUCGACUACAUGAAGCUGGAAUCGCUAGUAAUCGUAGAUCAGCAUGCUACGGUGAAUACGUUCCCGGGUCU
rnacentral:rRNA from 1 species